rnacentral:rRNA from 1 species
GAUGAACGCUAGCUACAGGCUUAACACAUGCAAGUCGAGGGGAAACGGCAUUGAGUGCUUGCACUCCUUGGACGUCGACCGGCGCACGGGUGAGUAACGCGUAUCCAACCUUCCCAUUACUGUGGGAUAACCUGCCGAAAGGCAGACUAAUACCGCAUAGUCUUCGAUGACGGCAUCAGAUUUGAAGUAAAGAUUUAUCGGUAAUGGAUGGGGAUGCGUCUGAUUAGCUUGUUGGUGGGGUAACGGCCCACCAAGGCAACGAUCAGUAGGGGUUCUGAGAGGAAGGUCCCCCACAUUGGAACUGAGACACGGUCCAAACUCCUACGGGAGGCAGCAGUGAGGAAUAUUGGUCAAUGGACGGAAGUCUGAACCAGCCAAGUAGCGUGCAGGAUGACGGCCCUAUGGGUUGUAAACUGCUUUUGUAUGGGGAUAAAGUUAGGGACGUGUCCCUAUUUGCAGGUACCAUACGAAUAAGGACCGGCUAAUUCCGUGCCAGCAGCCGCGGUAAUACGGAAGGUCCAGGCGUUAUCCGGAUUUAUUGGGUUUAAAGGGAGCGUAGGCUGGAGAUUAAGUGUGUUGUGAAAUGUAGACGCUCAACGUCUGAAUUGCAGCGCAUACUGGUUUCCUUGAGUACGCACAACGUUGGCGGAAUUCGUCGUGUAGCGGUGAAAUGCUUAGAUAUGACGAAGAACUCCGAUUGCGAAGGCAGCUGACGGGAGCGCAACUGACGCUUAAGCUCGAAGGUGCGGGUAUCAAACAGG